UUUUAUGGAGAGUUUGAUCCUGGCUCAGAGUGAACGCUGGCGGCGUGCCUAAUACAUGCAAGUCGAACGAUGAAGCUUCUAGCUUGCUAGAAUGCUGAUUAGUGGCGCACGGGUGAGUAACGCAUAGGUCAUGCGCCUCUUAGUUUGGGAUAGCCAUUGGAAACGAUGAUUAAUACCAGAUACUCCCUACGGGGGAAAGAUUUAUCGCUAAGAGAUCAGCCUAUGUCCUAUCAGCUUGUUGGUAAGGUAAUGGCUUACCAAGGCUAUGACGGGUAUCCGGCCUGAGAGGGUGAACGGACACACUGGAACUGAGACACGGUCCAGACUCCUACGGGAGGCAGCAGUAGGGAAUAUUGCUCAAUGGGGGAAACCCUGAAGCAGCAACGCCGCGUGGAGGAUGAAGGUUUUAGGAUUGUAAACUCCUUUUGUUAGAGAAGAUAAUGACGGUAUCUAACGAAUAAGCACCGGCUAACUCCGUGCCAGCAGCCGCGGUAAUACGGAGGGUGCAAGCGUUACUCGGAAUCACUGGGCGUAAAGAGCGCGUAGGCGGGAUAGUCAGUCAGGUGUGAAAUCCUAUGGCUUAACCAUAGAACUGCAUUUGAAACUACUAUUCUAGAGUGUGGGAGAGGUAGGUGGAAUUCUUGGUGUAGGGGUAAAAUCCGUAGAGAUCAAGAGGAAUACUCAUUGCGAAGGCGACCUGCUGGAACAUUACUGACGCUGAUUGCGCGAAAGCGUGGGGAGCAAACAGGAUUAGAUACCCUGGUAGUCCACGCCCUAAACGAUGGAUGCUAGUUGUUGGAGGGCUUAGUCUCUCCAGUAAUGCAGCUAACGCAUUAAGCAUCCCGCCUGGGGAGUACGGUCGCAAGAUUAAAACUCAAAGGAAUAGACGGGGACCCGCACAAGCGGUGGAGCAUGUGGUUUAAUUCGAAGAUACACGAAGAACCUUACCUAGGCUUGACAUUGAGAGAAUCCGCUAGAAAUAGUGGAGUGUCUAGCUUGCUAGACCUUGAAAACAGGUGCUGCACGGCUGUCGUCAGCUCGUGUCGUGAGAUGUUGGGUUAAGUCCCGCAACGAGCGCAACCCCCUUUCUUAGUUGCUAACAGGUUAUGCUGAGAACUCUAAGGAUACUGCCUCCGUAAGGAGGAGGAAGGUGGGGACGACGUCAAGUCAUCAUGGCCCUUACGCCUAGGGCUACACACGUGCUACAAUGGGGUGCACAAAGAGAAGCAAUACUGCGAAGUGGAGCCAAUCUUCAAAACACCUCUCAGUUCGGAUUGUAGGCUGCAACUCGCCUGCAUGAAGCUGGAAUCGCUAGUAAUCGCAAAUCAGCCAUGUUGCGGUGAAUACGUUCCCGGGUCUUGUACUCACCGCCCGUCACACCAUGGGAGUUGUGUUUGCCUUAAGUCAGGAUGCUAAAUUAGCUACUGCCCACGGCACACACAGCGACUGGGGUGAAGUCGUAACAAGGUAACCGUAGGUGAACCUGCGGUUGGAUCACCUCCUUUCUAGA
rnacentral:rRNA from 1 species